CCCUUAGAUGUUCUGGGCUGCGCGCGCGCUACACUGACACACCCAGCGAGUCUCCUGCCCUGACAGGGUUGGGUAAUCAUUGGAGUGUGUGUCGUGAUGGGGAUAGAGUAUUGCAAUUAUUGCUCUCGAACGAGGAAUUCCUAGUAAGCACAAGUCAGCAGCUUGUGCUGAUUACGUCCCUGCCCUUUGUACACACCGCCCGUCGCUCCUACCGAGGGGGUGAUCCGGUGAAUGAUUCGGACUUUGGCGUUUCUAGCUGCUAGCAGCGCUGAAGAAAGUUUUGUGAACCUUAUCACUUGGAGGAAGGAGAAGUCGUAACA
rnacentral:rRNA from 1 species